rnacentral:rRNA from 1 species
ACCUACGGGGGGCAGCAGUGGGGGAUAUUGCACAAUGGGGGGAACCCUGAUGCAGCGACGCCGCGUGGGUGAAGGAGUGCUUCGGCAUGUAAAGCCCUAUCGGCAGGGAAGAAGCAAGACGGUACCUGACUAAGAAGCCCCGGCUAACUACGUGCCAGCAGCCGCGGUAAUACGUAGGGGGCAAGCGUUAUCCGGAUUUACUGGGUGUAAAGGGAGCGUAGACGGCGAUGCAAGCCAGAUGUGAAAGCCCGGGGCUCAACCCCGGGACUGCAUUUGGACCUGUAUAGCUAGAGUGUCGG